rnacentral:rRNA from 1 species
CCUACGGGCGGCAGCAGUGGGGAAUAUUGCACAAUGGGCGCAAGCCUGAUGCAGCCAUGCCGCGUGUGUGAAGAAGGCCUUCGGGUUGUAAAGCACUUUCAGCGGGGAGGAAGGCGGUGAGGUUAAUAACCUCAUCGAUUGACGUUACCCGCAGAAGAAGCACCGGCUAACUCCGUGCCAGCAGCCGCGGUAAUACGGAGGGUGCAAGCGUUAAUCGGAAUUACUGGGCGUAAAGCGCACGCAGGCGGUCUGUCAAGUCGGAUGUGAAAUCCCCGGGCUCAACCUGGGAACUGCAUUCGAAACUGGCAGGCUAGAGUCUUGUAGAGGGGAGUAGAAUUCCAGGUGUAGCGGUGAAAUGCGUAGAGAUCGGGAGGAAUACCGGUGGCGAAGGCGACUCUUUGGUCUGUAACUGACGCUGAGGCGCGAAAGCGUGGGGAGCAAACAGGAUUAGAUACCCUAGUAGUC